rnacentral:rRNA from 1 species
AUUGAACGCUGGCGGUAUGCUUUACACAUGCAAGUCGAACGGAUUUGGGGGCUUGCUCCCAGGUUAGUGGCGAACGGGUGAGUAAUAUAUCGGAACAUAUCCGGAAGUGGGGGAUAACGUAGCGAAAGUUACGCUAAUACCGCAUAUGCCCUGAGGGGGAAAGGGGGGGAUUCGCAAGAACCUCUCGCUUUCGGAGUGGCCGAUAUCGGAUUAGCUAGAUGGUGAGGUAAAGGCUCACCAUGGCGACGAUCCGUAGCUGGUCUGAGAGGACGACCAGCCACACUGGAACUGAGACACGGUCCAGACUCCUACGGGAGGCAGCAGUGGGGAAUUUUGGACAAUGGGCGAAAGCCUGAUCCAGCCAUACCGCGUGAGUGAAGAAGGCCUUCGGGUUGUAAAGCUCUUUCAGCCGGAAAGAAAUUGCUUCUAUUAAUACUAGGAGUAGAUGACGGUACCGGAAGAAGAAGCACCGGCUAACUACGUGCCAGCAGCCGCGGUAAUACGUAGGGUGCGAGCGUUAAUCGGAAUUACUGGGCGUAAAGCGUGCGCAGGCGGUUUUUUAAGUCAGAUGUGAAAUCCCCGGGCUCAACCUGGGAACUGCAUUUGAAACUGGAAGACUAGAGUAUAGCAGAGGGGGGUAGAAUUCCACGUGUAGCUGUGAAAUGCGUAGAUAUGUGGAGGAAUACCGAUGGCGAAGGCAGCCCCCUGGGUCGAUACUGACGCUCAUGCACGAAAGCGU